rnacentral:lncRNA from 1 species
UUCCGGGUGAAAUCGGGAUUUUACCGGAACACCGGGGGGUUACCGGAACCCUCCCGGGGGUUAAUGGGCCUUAGUGGGCCAUGAGGGAGAAGAGGAAGGGCCGGCCAGGGCAGGCCGCGCGCCCCCUCCCCCCUAGUCCGAAUAGGACAAGGAGAGGGGGGGCGGCGCCCCCCUUCCCUCUUUCCCUCCCCCCAAGUCCUAAUCCAACUAGGAAAGGGGGGGGGGGUCCUACUCCCGGUGGGAGUAGGACUCCUCCGGCGCGCCUCCUCCUAGGGCCGACCUAUCCCAAUAACAAAGAAACCAGACUUAAAUGAUCCUGUAUUAAGAGCUAAAUUAGCUAAAGGGAUGGGACAUAAUUAUUACGGGGAACCCGCAUGGCCCUUUCUCCUUUAUAUACGGGGGCAGGGGGCACCCCAUAGACACACAAGUUGAUCUACGGAUCGUUCCUUAGCCGUGUGCGGUGCCCCCUUCCACCAUAUUCCACCUCGGUCAUAUCGUCGCGGAGUUUAGGCGAAGCCCUGCACCGGUAGAACAUCAUCAUCGUCACCACGCCGUCGUGCUGACGGAACUCAUCUCCGGAGCUCGGCUGGAUCGGAGGCCGGAGAUCGUCAUCGAGCUGAACGUGUGCUGAACUCGGAGGCUCCGUACGUUCGGUGCUUGGAUCGGCCGGAUCGUGAAGACGUACGACUACAUCAACCGCGUUGUUAUAACGCUUCCGCUUACGGUCUACGAGGGUACGUGGACGAACACUCUCCCCUCUCGUUGCUAUGCCAUCACCAUGAUCUUGCGUGUGCGUCGGAAUUUUUUUGAAAUUACUACGUUCCCCAACAGUGGCAUCCGAGCCUAGGUUUUAUGCGUUGAUGUUAUAUGCACGAGUAGAACACAAGUGAGUUGUGGACGAUAUAAGUCAUACUGCCUACCAGCGUGUCAUACUUUGGUUCAGCGGUAUUGUGAGAAGAAGCGGCCCGGACCGACAUUACGCGUACGCUUACGCGAGACUGGUUUCACCGUUACGAGCACUCGUGCUUAAAGGUGACUGGCGGGUGUCUGUCUCUCUCACUUUAGUUGAACCGAGUGUGGCUACGCCCGGUCCUUGUGAAGGUUAAAACGGAGUCUAUUUGACAAACUAUCAUUGUGGUUUUGAUGCGUAGGUAAGAACGGUUCUUGCUAAGCCCGUAGCAGCCACGUAAAAUUUGCAACAACAAAGUAGAGGACGUCUAACUUGUUUUUGUAGGGCAUGUUGUGAUGUGAUAUGGUCAAGACGUGAUGCUAUAUUUUAUUGUAUGAGAUGAUCAUGUUUUGUAACCGAAGUUAUCGGCAACUGGCAGGAGCCAUAUGGUUGUCGCUUUAUUGUAUGAAAUACAAACGCCCUGUAAUUGCUUUACUUUAUCACUAAGCGGUAGCGAUAGUCGUAGAAGCAAUAGAUGGCGUAAACGACAACGAUGCUACGAUGGAGAUCAAGGUGUCGCGCCGGUGACGAUGGUGAUCAUGACGGUGCUUCGAAGAUGGAGAUCACAAGCACAAGAUGAUGAUGGCCAUAUCAUAUCACUUAUAUUGAUUGCAUGUGAUGUUUAUCCUUUAUGCAUCUUAUCUUGCUUUGAUUGACGGUAGCAUUUUAAGAUGAUCUCUCACUAAAAUUAUCAAGUAGUGUUCUCCCUGAGUCUGCACCGUUGCCAAAGUUCGUCGUGCCGAGACACCACAUGAUGAUCGGGUGUGAUAAGCUCUACGUCCAUCUACAACGGGUGCAAGCCAGUUUUGCACACGCAGAAUACUCAGGUUAAACUUGAUGAGCCUAGCAUAUGCAGAUAUGGCGUCGGAACACGGAGAUCGAAAGGUCGAGCGUGAAUCAUAUAGUAUAUAUGAUCAACAUAAUGAUGUUCACCAUUGAAAACUACUCCAUCUCACGUGAUGAUCGGUUAUGGUUUAGUUGAUUUGGAUCACGUGAUCACUUAGAUGACAAGAGAGAUGUCUGUCUAAGUGGGAGUUCUUAAGUAAUAUGAGUAAUUGAACUUAAAUUUAUCAUGAACUUAGUACCUGAUAGUAUCUUGCUUGUCUAUGUUUGUUUGUAGAUAGAUGGCUCGUGCUGUUGUUGCGUUGAAUUUUAAUGCGUUCCUUGAGAAAGCAAAGUUGAAAGAUGAUGGUAGCAAUUACAUGGACUGGGUCCGUAACCUGAGGAUUAUCCUCAUUGCUGAACAGAAGAGUUACGUCCUGGAAGCACCGCAGGGUGCCAGGCCUGCUGCUGAUGCAACUGACAACGUUAAGAACGUCUGGCAGAGCAAAGCUGCUGACUACUCUAUAGUUCAGUGUGCCAUGCUUUACGGCUUAGAACCGGGUCUUCAACGAUGUUUUGAACGUCAUGGAGCAUAUGAGAUGUUCCAGGAGUUGAAGUUAAUAUUUCAAGCAAAUGCCCGGAUUGAGAGAUAUGAAGUCUCCAAUAAGUUCUAUAGCUGCAAGAUGGAGGAGAAUAGUUCUGUCAGUGAACACAUACUCAGAAUGUCUGGGUAUAAUAAUCACUUGAUUCAACUGGGAGUUAAUCUUCCUGAUGAUAGUGUCAUUGACAGAAUUCUCCAAUCACUGCCACCAAGCUACAAGAGCUUCGUGAUGAACUAUAAUAUGCAAGGGAUGAGCAAGACUAUUCCCGAGCUCUUCGCGAUGCUGAAAGCCGCAGAGGUAGAAAUCAAGAAGGAGCAUCAAGUGUUGAUGGUCAACAAGACCACUAGUUUCAAGAAGAAGGGCAAAGGGAAGAAGAAGGGGAACUUCAAAAAGAACGGCAAGCAAGUUGCUGCUCAAGAGAAGAAACCCAAGUCUGGUCCUAAGCCUGAAACUGAGUGCUUCUACUGCAAGAAGACUGGACACUGGAAGCGGAACUGCCCCAAGUAUUUGGCGGAUAAGAAGGAUGGCAAAGUGAACAAAGGUAUAUGUGAUAUACAUGUUAUUGAUGUGUACCUAACUAGAGCUCGUAGUAGCACCUGGGUAUUUGAUACUGGUUCUGUUGCUAAUAUUUGCAACUCGAAACAGGGACUACGGAAUAAGCGAGCACUGGCCAAGGAUGAGGUGACGAUGCGCGUGGGAAACGGUUCCAAAGUUGAUGUGAUCGCGGUCGGCACGCUACCUCUACAUCUACCUUCGGGAUUAGUUUUAGACCUGAAUAAUUGUUAUUUGGUGCCAGUUUUGAGCAUGAACAUUAUAUCUGGAUCUUGUUUGAUGCGAGACGGUUAUUCAUUUAAAUCAGAGAAUAAUGGUUGUUCUAUUUAUAUGAGUAAUAGCUUUUAUGGUCAUGCACCCUUGAAGAGUGGUCUAUUUUUAUUGAAUCUCGAUAAUAGUGAUACACAUAUUCAUAAUGUUGAAGCCAAAAGAUGCAGAGUUGAUAAUGAUAGUGCAACUUAUUUGUGGCACUGCCGUUUAGGUCAUAUCGGUGUAAAACGCAUGAAGAAACUCCAUACUGAUGGACUUCUGGAAUCACUUGAUUAUGAAUCACUUGGUACUUGCGAACCGUGCCUCAUGGGCAAGAUGACUAAAACACCGUUCUCCGGAACUAUGGAGAGAGUAACAUAUUUGUUGGAAAUCAUACAUACAGAUGUAUGUGGCCCAAUGAAUAUUGAGGCUCGUGGCGGAUAUCGUUAUUUUCUCACCUUCACAGAUUAUUUGAGCAGAUAUGGGUAUAUCUACUUAAUGAAGCACAAGUCUGAAACAUUUGAAAAGUUCAAAGAAUUUCAGAGUGAAGUAGAAAAUCAUCGUAACAAGAAAAUAAAGUUUCUACGAUCUGAUCGUGGAGGAGAAUAUUUGAGUUACGAGUUUGGUUUACGUUUGAAACAAUGCGGAAUAGUUUCGCAACUCACGCCACCUGGAACACCACAACGAAAUGGUGUGUCCGAACGUCGUAAUCGUACUUUACUUGAUAUGGUGCGAUCUAUGAUGUCUCUUACCGAUUUACCGCUAUCGUUUUGGGGUUAUGCUUUAGAGACGGCCGCAUUCACGUUAAAUAGGGCACCAUCAAAAUCCGUUGAGACGACGCCUUAUGAACUGUUGUUUGGCAAGAAACCAAAGUUGUCGUUUCUUAAAGUUUGGGGCUGCGAUGCUUAUGUGAAGAAACUUCAACCAGAUAAGCUCGAACCCAAAUCGGAGAAAUGUGUCUUCAUAGGAUACCCAAAAGAGACUGUUGGGUACACCUUCUAUCACAGAUCCGAAGGCAAGACAUUCGUUGCUAAGAAUGGAUCCUUUCUAGAGAAGGAGUUUCUCUCGAAAGAAGUGAGUGGGAGGAAGGUAGAACUUGAUGAGAUAACUGUAUCUACUCCCUUAUUGGAAGGUAGUUCAUCACGAGAACCGGUUCCCGUGACAACUACACCAAUUAGUGAGGAAGUUAAUGAUAUUGAUCAUGAAACUUCAGAUCAAGUUUCUGCUGAACCUCGUAGGUCUACCAGAGUAAGAUCCGCACCAGAGUGGUACGGUAAUCCUAUUCUGGAAGUCAUGUUACUUGACCAUGAUGAACCUACGAACUAUGAGGAAGCGAUGAUGAGCCCAGAUUCCGCAAAAUGGCUAGAGGCCAUAAAAUCUGAGAUGGGAUCCAUGUAUGAAAACAAAGUAUGGACUUUGGUUGACUUGCCUGAUGGUCGGCAAGUCAUUGAGAAUAAAUGGAUUUUUAAGAAGAAGACUGACGCUGAUGGUAAUGUUACUGUCUAUAAAGCUCGGCUUGUUGCGAAAGGUUUUCGACAAGUUCAAGGGGUUGACUACGAUGAGUCUUUCUCACCCGUAGCGAUGCUUAAGUCUGUCCGAAUCAUGUUGGCUAUUGCUGCAUUUCAUGAUUAUGAAAUUUGGCAAAUGGAUGUCAAAACUGCAUUCUUGAAUGGAUUUCUAGAAGAAGAGUUGUAUAUGAUGCAGCCGGAAGGUUUUGUUGAUCCAAAAGGUGCUGACAAAGUGUGCAAGCUCCAACAUUCCAUUUAUGGACUGGUGCAAGCAUCUCGGAGUUGGAAUAUAAUGUGAUCAAAGCAUAUGGUUUUAUACAGACUUUUGGAGAAGCCUGUAUUUACAAGAAAGUGAGUGGGAGAUCUGUAGCAUUUCUAGUUUUAUAUGUUGAUGACAUAUUAUUAAUUGGAAAUGAUAUAGAAUUUCUGGAUAGCAUAAAGGGAUACUUGAAUAAAAGUUUUUCAAUGAAAGACCUCGGUGAAGCUGCUUACAUAUUGGGCAUCAAGAUCUGUAGAGAUAGAUCAAGACGCUUAAUAGGACUUUCACAAAGCACAUACCUUGACAGAAUUUUGAAAAAGUUCAAAAUGGAUCAGGCAAAGAAAGGAUUCUUGCCUGUGCUACAAGGUGUGAAGUUGAGUCAAACUCAAUGCCCGACCACAGCAGAAGAUAGAGAGAAAAUGAAAAAUGUUCCCUAUGCUUCAGCCAUAGGCUCUAUCAUGUAUGCAAUGCUGUGUACCAGACCUGCCGUAUGCUUAGCAAUAAGCUUGGCAGGAAGGUACCAAAGUAAUCCAGGAGUGGAUCACUGGACAGCGGUAAGAACAUCCUGAAAUACCUGAAAAGGACUAAGGAUAUGUUUCUCGUAUAUGGAGGUGACAAAGAGCUAGUCGUAAAUGGUUACGUCGAUGCAAGAUUUGACACUGAUCCGGACGAUUCUAAAUCGCAAACCGGAUACGUGUUUAUAUUAAACGGUGGAGCUGUAAGUUGGUGCAGUUCUAAACAAAGCGUCGUGGCGGGAUCUACAUGUGAAGCGGAGUACAUAGCUGCUUCUGAAGCAGCAAAUGAAGGAGUCUGGAUGAAGGAGUUCAUUUCCGAUCUAGGUGUCAUACCUAGUGCAUCGGGACCAAUGAAGAUCUUCUGUGACAAUACUGGUGUAAUUGCCUUGGCAAAGGAAUCCAGAUUUCACAAGAGGACCAAGCACAUCAAGAGACGCUUCAAUUCCAUUCGGGACCAAGUCCAAGUGGGAGACAUAGAGAUUUGCAAGAUACAUACGGAUCUGAAUGUUGCAGACCCGUUGACUAAGCCUCUCUCACGAGCAAAACAUGAUCAGCACCAAGACUCCAUGGGUGUUAGAAUCAUUACUAUGUAAUCUAGAUUAUUGACUCUAGUGCAAGUGGGAGACUGAAGGAAAUAUGCCCUAGAGGCAAUAAUAAAGUUAUUAUUUAUUUCCUUAUAUCAUGAUAAAUGUUUAUUAUUCAUGCUAGAAUUGUAUUAACCGGAAACAUGAUACAUGUGUGAAUACAUAGACAAACACAUAGUCACUAGUAUGCCUCUACUUAACUAGCUCAUUAAUCAAAGAUGGUUAUGUUUCCUGACCAUAGACAUGUGUUGUCAUUUGAUUAAUGGGAUCACAUCAUUAGGAGAAUGAUGUGAUCGACAUGACCCAUUCUGUUAGCCUAGCACUUGAUCGUUUAGUAUACUGCUAUUGCUUUCUUCAUGACUUAUACAAAGUUCCUACAACUAUGAGAUUGUGCAACUCCCGUUUACCGGAAGAACACUUUGUGUGCUACCAAACGUCACAACGUAACUGGGUGAUUAUAAAGGUGCUCUACAGGUGUUUCCGAAGGUACAUGUUGGGUUGGCAUAAUUCGAGAUUAGGAUUUGUCACUCCGAUUGUCGGAGAGGUAUCUCUGGGCCCUCUCGGUAAUAGUCGUAACCUAAGCCUUGCAAGCAUGUAACUAAUGAGUUAGUUAUGAGAUGACGUAUUACGGAACGAGUAAAGAGACUUGCUGGUAACGAGAUUGAACUAGGUAUUGGAUACCGACGAUCAAAUCUCGGACAAGUAACAUACCGAUGACAAAGGGAACAAAGUAUGUUGUUAUGCGGUUUGACCGAUAAAGUUCUUCAUAGAAUAUGUAGGAACCAAUAUGGACAUCCAGGUCCCGCUCUUGGUUAUUGACCGAGAAUGGUUUUAGGUCAUGUGUACAUAGUUCUCGAACCCGUAGGGUCCGCACGCUUAACGUUUCGAUGACAGAUUUAUUAUGAGUUUAUAAGUUUUUGAUGUACCGAAGUUUGUUCGGAGUCCCGGAUGUGAUCACGGACAUGACGAGGAGUCUCGGAAUGGUCGAGACAUAAAGAUUGAUAUAUUGGAAGCCUAUGUUUGGACUUCGGAAUAGUUCCGGGUGAAAUCGGGAUUUUACCGGAACACCGGGGGGUUACCAGAACCCUCCCGGGGGUUAAUGGGCCUUAGUGUGCCAUGAGGGAGAAGAGGAAGGGCCGGCCAGGGCAGGCCGCGCGCCCCCUCCCCCCCCCCUAGUCCGAAUAGGACAAGGAGAGGGGGGGCGGCGCCCCCCUUCCCUCUUUCCCUCCCCCCAAGUCCUAAUCCAACUAGGAAGGGGGGGGGAGUCCUACUCCCGGUGGGAGUAGGACUCCUCCGGCGCGCCUCCUCCUAGGGCCGGCCGCACCCCCCUUGCUCCUUUAUAUACGGGGGCA